AUUUAAGUAAUUUAAUUAAAAUUUUGAUUUGUGAUGUCAAAUACAUAAGUAUAAAUCUUAUCUUAAAUC
rnacentral:tRNA from 1 species